ensembl:lncRNA
AGAGUAGUGCAGAAGUUGUCAUAUGCUGAGGCAGUGAAGACAGUAGAGGAAGAUGGGUCAAGGGAGAAGGAUCCUGAAGAGGAGUGGUUAUGUGGAGUCCAGACAGUGGUCCUAAACUGCUGAAGGAGAUGGGGAUGCAGGAGGGUGUUACUGACAGGCCAUGUCUACCCAGAGGAGUACAAGCAGCUGUUUGAACUGGUGGAGUGGUUCCAGGAGUUCAUUCAGAGCUGGUUGUAUGAGGAGAUACUGGAGAACACCCAGAAAGAGGGCUGGCUCUAGACACACAGCGGCACCACCAGGACUGGAGGGAUAGUGCAGCCGGGAACUGGGCUGAAAAAACAGAGGCUGCUUGAAGCUACAGAUUCUAGAGGAAUCUAAACCCCUGAGAUGUUGGACUAGUGAAUCACACCUCAUGUCAUGGUUUAGGAUUGUCCUGGGCGGAUGUUGAGAUGUGACACUUUUGGUAUUGGACCUUUUUUAAAAGGAGCUAUGUGUAGAGAUGCUUGUUUAAAAGCCACUAGGUGUCUAAAAGUUGGUCGGUGAAAGGCAGCAGAGACUACACCAUAUAGGCCAUUUUCUAAAGGGUUGAUGAUGGAUAGCAGCAGAAAGGUGACUUUAUUGGCAAAGCAAGGUUGUAACGAGACAAGAUGUGUUCGAACCGUUCGAUCACAUUUUGUCACACUGUGUUAUCCACAGGUUUUUACUGUAGGUUUUUUGCUAACGCAGCACAUGAAGUUAACUGGUUCAUAAUAAUGUGUGAUGAAUGGUACCUACUGCUUGUAUAAUUUAGUGUACAUAUGUAGCAUGUUUGCAUGUACGGACAGUUCAUUCAAUAACAUACACAGUUUGUGGGUAUUUGAGCCUCUUCUGAAUGCUAGGUACUCAAUGUCUGACAGGUUCAGUCACUCAUGAUCAGUAUCAUUCUGUGGUCACUGGUCGUCAUAUCUGCCUGUAGUGUUUCCGAUGGAUAAAGAUAGUGGAUAAUGGAUAAAGAUAGUAUUGUGUUGUUCUCGUGUGUGCUAAGGGCAUUUCAAUUGCCAUAUUGAAUUGUUUCAUUCCAUAAGCAUUGGAGGAAAUGUGAUUGUAUCAAAAUAAAUAUUUUGCCAAUGUUGACAA